UACGAAGGGGGCGAACGUUGUCCGGAUUUACUGGGUUUAAAGGGUGCGUAGGCGGGUUUGUAAGUCAGUGGUGAAAUAUGUCAGCUUAACUGAGAGGGUGCCAUUGAUACUGCAGAACUUGAGUGCGGAUGAGGCAGGCGGAAUUGUCGGUGUAGCGGUGAAAUGCUUAGAUAUCGUCAGGAACACCUAUAGCGAAGGCAGCUUACUAGGCUGUAACUGACGCUGAGGCACGAAAGUGUGGGGAUAAAACAGG
rnacentral:rRNA from 1 species